rnacentral:tRNA from 2 species
GGGAGUUUAGCUCAGCUGGUUUAGAGCAUCUGCCUUACAAGCAGAGGGUCGGGGGUUCGAAUCCCUCAACUCCCA